rnacentral:rRNA from 1 species
UACGUAGGGCGCAAGCGUUGUCCGGAAUUAUUGGGCGUAAAGAGCUCGUAGGCGGCUUGUCACGUCGGGUGUGAAAGCCCGGGGCUUAACCCCGGGUCUGCAUUCGAUACGGGCAGGCUAGAGUGUGGUAGGGGAGAUCGGAAUUCCUGGUGUAGCGGUGGAAUGCGCAGAUAUCAGGAGGAACACCGAUGGCGAAGGCAGUUCUCUGGGCCGUAACUGACGCUGAGGAGCGAAAGCGUGGGGAGCGAACAGG